rnacentral:rRNA from 1 species
UACGUAGGGGGCAAGCGUUGUCCGGAUUCACUGGGCGUAAAGCGCGUGUAGGCGGCGUGUCAAGUCGGGUGUGAAAGCCCGGGGCUCAACCCCGGGAUGCCGCUCGAAACUGGCGCGCUUGAGGACGGAAGAGGGGAGUGGAAUUCCUGGUGUAGCGGUGAAAUGCGUAGAGAUCAGGAGGAACACCCGUGGCGAAGGCGGCUCCCUGGUCCGUCCCUGACGCUGAGACGCGAAAGCGCGGGGAGCAAACGGG